GGGGUUGUAGCUCAGUGGUAAAGUGCUUGCCUCACAUACAUGCAUGAGGCACUGGGUUCAAUCUUCAGCACCACG
rnacentral:tRNA from 1 species